rnacentral:rRNA from 1 species
UAACGUAGCGAAAGUUACGCUAAUACCGCAUAUUCUGUGCGCAGGAAAGCAGGGGAUCGCAAGACCUUGCGCUGAUUGAGCGGCCGAUAUCAGAUUAGCUGGUUGGUGAGGUAAAGGCUCACCAAGGCGACGAUCUGUAGCGGGUCUGAGAGGAUGAUCCGCCACACUGGAACUGAGACACGGUCCAGACUCCUACGGGAGGCAGCAGUGGGGAAUUUUGGACAAUGGGGGCAACCCUGAUCCAGCCAUGCCGCGUGAGUGAAGAAGGCCUUCGGGUUGUAAAGCUCUUUCGGCCGGGAAGAAAUCGUAUCAGCUAAUACCUGGUGCGGAUGACGGUACCGGCAUAAGAAGCACCGGCUAACUACGUGCCAGCAGCCGCGGUAAUACGUAGGGUGCGAGCGUUAAUCGGAAUUACUGGGCGUAAAGCGUGCGCAGGCGGUUUUGUAAGACAGGCGUGAAAUCCCCCGGGCUCAACCUGGGAACUGCGUUUGUGACUGCAAGGCUAGAGUACG